GACGAACGCUGGCGGCGUGCCUAACAUAUGCAAGUCGAACGAAGCAUUUAAGUGAAUCCCUUCGGGGUGAAGCUUUUAUGACUUAGUGGCGGACGGGUGAGUAACGCGUGAGUAACCUGCCUUUCAGAGGGGGAUAACAGUUGGAAACGACUGCUAAUACCGCAUAACGUAUAUUUAAGGCAUCUUAGAUAUACCAAAGCUGAGGCGCUGAAAGAUGGACUCGCGCCUGAUUAGAUAGUUGGUGAGGUAACGGCUCACCAAGUCGACGAUCAGUAGCCGGACUGAGAGGAUGACCGGCCACAUUGGAACUGAGACACGGUCCAA
rnacentral:rRNA from 1 species